GGAGGCUUUGAAGCGUGGACGCCAGUCUGCGUGGAGCCGACCUUGAAAUACCACCCUUUAAUGUUUGAUGUUCUAACGUGGAUCCGUAAUCCGGGUUGCGGACAGUGUCUGGUGGGUAGUUUGACUGGGGCGGUCUCCUCCUAAAGAGUAACGGAGGAGCACGAAGGUUGGCUAAUCCUGGUCGGACAUCAGGAGGUUAGUGCAAUGGCAUAAGCCAGCUUGACUGCGAGCGUGACGGCGCGAGCAGGUGCGAAAGCAGGUCAUAGUGAUCCGGUGGUUCUGAAUGGAAGGGCCAUCGCUCAACGGAUAAAAGGUACUCCGGGGAUAACAGGCUGAUACCGCCCAAGAGUUCAUAUCGACGGCGGUGUUUGGCACCUCGAUGUCGGCUCAUCACAUCCUGGGGCUGAAGUAGGUCCCAAGGGUAUGGCUGUUCGCCAUUUAAAGUGGUACGCGAGCUGGGUUUAGAACGUCGUGAGACAGUUCGGUCCCUAUCUGCCGUGGGCGCUGGAGAACUGAGGGGGGCUGCUCCUAGUACGAGAGGACCGGAGUGGACGCAUCACUGGUGUUCGGGUUGUCAUGCCAAUGGCACUGCCCGGUAGCUAAAUGCGGAAGAGAUAAGUGCUGAAAGCAUCUAAGCACGAAACUUGCCCCGAGAUGAGUUCUCCCUGAGACUUA
rnacentral:rRNA from 1 species